UACGUAGGGGGCAAGCGUUGUCCGGAAUCAUUGGGCGUAAAGAGCGUGUAGGUGGCUCGGUAAGUCCGCUGUGAAAGUCCAGGGCUCAACCCUGGAAUGCCGGCGGAAACUGUCGAGCUAGAGUCCGGAAGAGGCGAGUGGAAUUCCUGGUGUAGCGGUGAAAUGCGCAGAUAUCAGGAGGAACACCAAUGGCGAAGGCAGCUCGCUGGGACGGUACUGACACUGAGACGCGAAAGCGUGGGGAGCAAACAGG
rnacentral:rRNA from 1 species